rnacentral:rRNA from 1 species
CAAGUCGAGCGAACGGACGAGAAGCUUGCUUCUCUGAUGUUAGCGGCGGACGGGUGAGUAACACGUGGAUAACCUACCUAUAAGACUGGGAUAACUUCGGGAAACCGGAGCUAAUACCGGAUAAUAUUUUGAACCGCAUGGUUCAAAAGUGAAAGACGGUCUUGCUGUCACUUAUAGAUGGAUCCGCGCUGCAUUAGCUAGUUGGUAAGGUAACGGCUUACCAAGGCAACGAUGCAUAGCCGACCUGAGAGGGUGAUCGGCCACACUGGAACUGAGACACGGUCCAGACUCCUACGGGAGGCAGCAGUAGGGAAUCUUCCGCAAUGGGCGAAAGCCUGACGGAGCAACGCCGCGUGAGUGAUGAAGGUCUUCGGAUCGUAAAACUCUGUUAUUAGGGAAGAACAUAUGUGUAAGUAACUGUGCACAUCUUGACGGUACCUAAUCAGAAAGCCACGGCUAACUACGUGCCAGCAGCCGCGGUAAUACGUAGGUGGCAAGCGUUAUCCGGAAUUAUUGGGCGUAAAGCGCGCGUAGGCGGUUUUUUAAGUCUGAUGUGAAAGCCCACGGCUCAACCGUGGAGGGUCAUUGGAAACUGGAAAACUUGAGUGCAGAAGAGGAAAGUGGAAUUCCAUGUGUAGCGGUGAAAUGCGCAGAGAUAUGGAGGAACACCAGUGGCGAAGGCGACUUUCUGGUCUGUAACUGACGCUGAUGUGCGAAAGC